AUCACGGGCCUCUAAGUCACCGAGGGGAGGUGGAGAAUAGGAUUGACCAGGACCGGCAGCAAGAACCUUCUACUAGAUCCACCAGGCAGGAUCCCCCAGUCCCCUCCAGAGUCUGUGGGAAAGGCCGUGGCGGUCGGGGACGUGUUUCCAGAGUCUCCACCGGGGAAGAUAGGGAGUUCGUUGUCCCUCGUAUAGACAAUGAACUCUUUAUCCAGCUGGUGGAGGCGCGUCCCGGAUUAUGGGACCACACUGACCGCCACCAUGCAGACCAUCACCUGACCCAGCGGCUCUGCAGGGAGAUAUUUGAAUGUUUGUUCAGUGGCUGGGAGGAUCUCAGUGCGGCGGAUCAGAAAGAAUGUGUGGACAAGGUUACCACUCGGUGGUGAUCAAUGCGGGACCGCUUCAAGAGGGACUACAACAAGGAAGUUCAGGCUCCAAAUGGUUCCGGAGCAACCUCAGGGUCGACAUAUGUCUACAGUGCAGCCUUGGGGUUCU